UGAUGAUCUGCCUCCGGAGGUUCUCCCAGCACGGAGACAGCUCGCCCAGCUCCUCCAGUUCACACACCCUGUGUGUGGUUACAGCAGCUUCACAAACUGUCGAGGGAUGUGCAGGGAAAGCGCGCUCUCAGCCAUCUGCUCCAGGACGCGGAGAUGUUUGCCGUCCGUGGUGGGGAAACGGUACAUCUGCGACAUGACGCCUCCGAACACUGGAACGCGCGGAAACAUGGCCACGUUUACGAAAUAACGUAGGAACUUUCCUGAAGUUCAGAUGCUCUCUGAUGAUACUCGCCGGCCUUCAGCAGGGGAUCUUUACACAGCGACGAAGACUUGAACUUGAUGCCUUUGGAUUCAGUUAAGCUUUCAUCAACUGGAAGAACCAUCUGAAAGCGUGAGACAGUGUUUAUCCCUCCGUGACGUUACAUUGCUACAAAUUAAGGCAGCGGAAGUCCUCAUGCAUACACUGUGUACAAGUACAAAUAAAACAGUACUACAGACACUGAAAAGUACGCAAGUACAAAAGUAAAAAGUACAGUUUUAUCUUCAAUUAUUGUAUAUUCACAAGACCCAAUUUCAUAACUUGGUACAACAAAUUUUUUUAACUUAU